ACUCAAAUGAAUUGACGGGGGCCCGCACAAGCGGUGGAGCAUGUGGUUUAAUUCGACGCAACGCGAAGAACCUUACCUGGGCUUGAACCACUGGUAGUAAGCCUUUGGAAACAGAGGCUGAUCCGCAAGGAAGCCAGCAGAGGUGCUGCAUGGUUGUCGUCAGCUCGUGUCGUGAGAUGUUGGGUUAAGUCCCGCAACGAGCGCAACCCCUAUCUCAUAUUGCGACCUGCGCAAGCAGGGCACUUUUGAGAAACUGCCUUCGAUAAGAAGGAGGAAGGUGGGGACGACGUCAAAUCCUCAUGGCCCUUAUGUCCAGGGCCACACACGUGCUACAAUGGCCGGUACAACGGGAAGCAAUACCGCAAGGUGGAGCCAAACCCUAAAAGCCGGCCUCAGUUCAGAUUGUGGGCUGCAACUCGCCCACAUGAAGGCGGAAUCGCUAGUAAUCGCGAAUCAGCAGGUCGCGGUGAAUACGUUCCCGGGCCUUGUACACACCGCCCGU
rnacentral:rRNA from 1 species